UACGUAGGGUGCGAGCGUUGUCCGGAAUUAUUGGGCGUAAAGGGCUCGUAGGCGGUCUGUCGCGUCGGGAGUGAAAAACUCAGGGCUUAACCCUGAGCCUGCUUCCGAUACGGGCAGACUAGAGGUAUGCAGGGGAGAACGGAAUUCCUGGUGUAGCGGUGAAAUGCGCAGAUAUCAGGAGGAACACCGAUGGCGAAGGCAGGUCACUGGGCCGCAACUGACGCUGAGGAGCGAAAGCGUGGGGAGCGAACAGG
rnacentral:rRNA from 1 species